rnacentral:tRNA from 1 species
GGGCGCUUAGCUCAGUGGGAGAGCGUCUGCUUCACGCGCAGAAGGUCGUAGGUUCAAGUCCUACAGCGCCCACCA